UGCUUAGUUUAGUGUAGGACUUGUUGUUGAUGUUGUCAUAUUCAUACUGUAUUUUCCAAAGUUCAAUAGCACGUCGUCCUUAGGAUAAGUUGUUGAUAGAAGAAAUAUUUUCCAAAGUUUGAUAGCACGUCAUCCUUAGGAUAAGUUGUUGAUAAAAGAAAUGGACUAAACUAAAGCAUUCCCGGGAGUUGAUGCUGUUGUUAUUGAGCUGCUGCUGUUGUCAUUAACCUGCUGUUGCUGCUGUUGUAGGAGAAGAAGGAGCACGCCCAGGAGAAGAAGGAGUAAGCCCAGGAGAAAAAGAACGAGUAGGAGAAGAAGACCCUGGAUUGGUGUUGCUGGAGUGUUGAGGACCUGGGAUCUGUGACGGCCCUGCACCGGCUCCCACUCGCGAACGUCGCGCGGGCGGCCUGCGUCUGCCGCCUCUGCCGCGCCGUCGCCUCUGACCGCGCCGUGCUGGAGGCCGCCUUUCGUGCGCCCUGGGGCGUGCGCCGCGUCCUCGGCGACCCGGCCACCAGGGCCUUCUGGUGUGCUGCCUCCCUCGCCCGAUUCGCUCUCUCGCGCGCCGCUCGUCGCGGGGACACCGUCCCCGGCAUCGUGCUCAAGUAUUUUGUCUAGUUGUGCAGCAAAAUCUGGCUCAAGCCCGGAAGGAGCAGCAAGCUGCUGUAUUGGUGCUAUAGCAGAGGGAUGGGCCUCCUAGCAAAGCUUGCUGGGGGCAUUUUCAGGAUACGAUUGAUGCCUUGAAGAAGUCAGCUCCCCUUGGAUGGUGCAGUGCAGCAAAUCAAUGUCGAUUCAUUCAUUCUUUAAUGCUGGUUUUCAUUCUUCAAAAGUUGGGUGUACAGGAGCUCUAAGAAGAAGAAUCCCGAAGAAAAAACACACCCGGCAAUGCGUUUUAGCUCAUUGGAGAUAGUUAUGUGUGAAUCUAGUUAUGUGUAUAUUUAGUUGUAUUUUAUAGCUGAAUACCAUAAUUGUACUAUGUUUGGCUGUUGUAUGAAAUAUUAUGCCUUAUUGGCUCCUUUUGAAUCAAAUUAUCUAAUUGCACAAGUAUAGAACUGACGUUUGGUACCCAAAUAACAAUCCUGGUAAUUGGUUCCCAUUUGACUAGUGAGACCUACUUUAAAAUGGAAAAGAAACAAAA